AUACGUAGGUGACAAGCGUUAUCCGGAUUUACUGGGCGUAAAGGGCGUGUAGGCGGUCUUGCAAGUCAGAAGUGAAAUUCCUGAGCUCAACUCGGGCGCUGCUUCUGAAACUGCAGGACUCGAGUGCUGGAGGGGAUAGCGGAAUUCCUAGUGGAGCGGUAAAAUGCGCAGAUAUUAGGAAGAACACCGGUGGCGAAGGCGGCUAUCUGGACAGUAACUGACGCUGAGGCGCGAAAGCGUGGGGAGCAAACAGGAUUAGAUACCCUGGUAGUCCACGCUGUAAACGAUGAAUACUAGGUGUAGGGGGUAUCGACUCCCUCUGUGCCGCAGUUAACACAAUAAGUAUUCCGCCUGGGGAGUACGGCCGCAAGGUUGAAACUCAAAUGAAUUGACGGGG
rnacentral:rRNA from 1 species